AUGGCUCUCACCCCCACACUCAGUGCCUGUGCGUCUCUGCGAAGCAACACCCCCGAAAUCCAGCUGGGUGCCAUCCAGGCCUUCCGGAGGGUCCCCUGCUCUGUAGACCGAUCAGUGCUCUCCCAUCUGUACCACUCCCCGGAGGAGGAUGCUGAGAUUCGUAUCAAUGUCUACCUGGCCCUGAUGAGAUGCCCCAGUGAAGAGGUGUUUGCUCAGGUGCGGCGCACCCAGGCAGGCGAGCUGUCCACCCAGGGUGAGCCAUGGGUGUGUGUGGGAGGGGUGUGGGCAGGCAGGGGUGGGGGUGGUAGGGCACCUCCUGGAGAGUGCAGGGGGUUUGAGAGCAUCCUCACCCUCCACUCCUCUGGCAUCCUUCUGUCUUCUUGUCCCCCUCUUUCUCUACCAUACUGUCUAGAUGAGGGGCUGCGUAUUCCUCCCUCCCCUACGUGGUAAUUCCAGUCCCCAUUCUGCUGCUGGAUGACUUUGAAGAAGUUGCUUCUCCUCUCUGUUCCUCAGUUUCCUCAUCUGUAAAAUGGGAUGGGAGUCAGGGUUCUGGCCAGAUCAUGACAUGGUGUCCUAAAGAGAGACCUAACAAGAGGUACAGCAUCUGCAAAUCUCAGAUCCCUUAUGGAAGGAGAUAGUUCCCUUUAUACUAGCACCUGAACCCAAAGAUGAAAUUCAAAAAAAUAAGUUCAACUGAUUGUUUAAAAAAAUUCCAUAAUAUACAGUGGGGUGAGAGGUUGGAACCUGAGAGCCCAGGUUCAAAUUCCAGCUUCACCACUUCCUUCCCGUAUGCCUUGAGACAAGUAAGGAAACCUUCAUGAGCCUCCAUUUCUGUACCUAUAAAAUAGGGAUAAUGCUAGUACCUCCCUCAUAGUGAUGCAAGCAUAAAAUGAGUUAAUACACAAAGGCAUUUAGAACACAUAGUAAGUGCCACAUGUGUGACUGUUGCUUUUAAUGUUGUUAUCACUACUGCUGCUAUUAUUAAUGCAGUAUGGCUACAUGGUCAAAAUUUUAAAGCAUAGGCAAGGGAUAAAUGAGAAAAAUUAGUCUUCUUUCCUCUUCCCCCAAUAUCUUCCUGUGUCCUAAAGAUACGCACUGUGAACCAGGUCCCCCAUGGGACCUGAUUCUGGUUUAGGCUGUUUCUGGUCUUUUGCCAUCAGAACCAUCACCAAAUUCUCCUGUGUAUCACAUCAGAACUUGUAAUACAUAGAGGAACAUACUCAUUUAUCUCUUUAACAACAGCAUCUCAGGAUCAUGUUCUACUUGCUAUUGUGCUCCUUGCCUUUUUUUUUUUUUUUUAAUGAGAAGCAACUUCUCAUUUAAAAAAAAAAAAAAAAAAAAAAAAAACAAAGUCUCUGUCACCCAGGCUGGAGUGCAGUGGCACAAUCUCGGUUCACUGCAACAUCUACCUCCUGGGUUCAAGCAAUUCCCCUGCUUCAGCCUCUUGAGU
rnacentral:lncRNA from 13 species